rnacentral:tRNA from 1 species
UGGCUCAGUGGUAGAGCGCUUGCCUUGCGUGCAUGAGGCCCUGGGUUCGAUUUCUCAG